rnacentral:tRNA from 1 species
AGUUUAAAUAGUGUAAUUUAACACUUAACAUUUUCAUUGUUAUAAUCCAUAAGGUUUAAACUA